UACGGGGGGAGCAAGCGUUGUUCGGAUUUACUGGGCGUAAAGGGCGCGUAGGCGGUCAGCACAAGUCAGUUGUGAAAUCUCCGAGCUUAACUCGGAAAGGUCAACUGAUACUGUGCGGCUAGAGUGCGGAAGGGGCAACUGGAAUUCUUGGUGUAGCGGUGAAAUUCGUAGAUAUUCGGAAGAACACCAGUGGCGAAGGCGACUUACUGGACACAUAUUGACGCUGAGGUGCGAAAGCGUGGGGAGCAAACAGG
rnacentral:rRNA from 1 species